GCCAGAGGCAGAGCUGGUGGACACCUGAUAGCAUUGCCCAAGUAACUGGAGCUAAAGUUUUCCUUGUUGUGGAGACAAAUACACUGAAAAUCCAGGCAGAGAACAAAUCACAUUACCUUCAUUUUAGAAAGUUCUUUGAAGAUGGAUUUUAAAUCUCCUGGAAUAAAUGAGAAGCUUUCAACAGACCCAGAUGUUUCAUGACUUCCUUCAUUUGUUCUAAGUAGCUUCCUUCUAGCCCAACCCUCACCAAUUCAUAAGAAUUCAACCUGAUCAACCACCCUGUUGUGAAGAAGAAAAGGUUUCUUUUCCCACCAGUGGCUAAAAUAUGGCUGAAGCACCUAUAACAAAAGGCAGAUUACCAAGAGAGAAGCAUACAAAUUUAUUUAAGUUUUAUGUGACUCAAGAGCCUUCAGAAAUGAAGAACCAAAGAAAAAGGGAAACCAGUGUAUUUUUUGGCUAAAUUUGAUGAAAGAGAAGGAUGACUGCACUAAAGGGUUAUGAUAUAGUGCUAAUAAACUGGGAAAAACUUA